CUUUUGGUCCUUAUUCCUCUCAGGGGUUGAAAUCGUUGAAUAUAUGUUAAAUUAAGAUCGUAUUUGGAUGGGAAGUAACUCUAUUCCAACGGUUAACAGCGUGGAAAUGGCGAAUUACCAGCCCUACGAUAAGAGACAUAGAGAUCUCCAAGAAGAUGUUCGCCCUGCCAAUAGUAGACUCUUUAUUUUAUGCAGUAAACAAGCAUCGGAAGAAAUGUUCCAGAAGGAAUUCGAGCGAUUUGGAGGGAUCGAAGAUAUCUGGGUUGUGAAAGAUAAACGUUCAAACGAAAACAAAGGAGUAACUUACAUUAAGUAUGGUAAAACAUCAGAAGCAGCAUUAGCCAUGGAAGAGAUGAAUGGUAAAUCUCUGGACGGAGACCCUAAACCAUUAAAGGUGAUGAUUGCAAGUAGUAAAAGAGAAGGAUCCAUCAGAGACCCAAAGGAAGACGAGAAGAAUCUGAGAUUGUUUGUAAUUGUACCCAAGUCAUAUAGCAGGGAUGAUCUUAGGAAGGAAUUUGAGGAGUUUGGUGAUAUUGAUUCUGUAUCCUUGGUAACAGACAAGUAUUCAGGUGCCAACAAAGGAUUUGGAUAUGUUAGGUUCCAUCGAGCUUAUCAUGCUGCUCUGGCUUUUGAAGGCUGUGAUCCAUCAUUUAAGCCUAAGUAUGCUGAUCCUAAGCCACAAAAAGAGAGAGAUCAAGACGUAAUGUUUGAUCCAAGAGAGGUUUAUCCUGGUUAUCAGAGUGGAUACAGGGACUCUGGCAGGGAGUCAAGAGGAGGGAGUCGUUAUGAGUCUGACAGAGGAGGUCGGUAUGAAGAUAAGAGUUAUCGAAGAGAUAAUAUGCGAGAUAUGCGUGAUAUGGGAGAUUCAAUGCAAGGUAUGAAGAGAGGCCAUUCUGAGAUGAUGGAUGACUUUGGAGGAAAUAUGGGAGGAGGAGGAGGAGGUUUCUCUGUCUCAAGCGGUCCCUUAGACAUCUUAGAGAGAUACCCUAGCACAGGAUCAACCCGACUUCAUAUUACAGCUCCUAUUGGAUUAUCCCAAGGUUACCUAACACGCCUGUUUAGCAUCAUCCCAGGACUGGAGUAUUGUGACUUGAAUGAAGCUACAGGACAAGCUUUUGCAAGAUACACCAGCCCUCAGUGUGCUUCGUAUGCCAGAGAUAAAUUGCAUGGUUUUGAGUACCCCAUUGGAAGUCCCUUAGUAGUAAGAUGUGCAGAUGAGCAGCAAAGACCUCCUGAUCUACGUUCUUUGGGACAGUCUAGUAUGGGAUUUGACAGUUAUGCUGGUUAUGGAGGUGGAAAGGCACAGGGAAAUGACAUGUUCAGAAGGGCAGCUUUGAUCUUAGAAAAUGCAGGAAUUAAUCCAGAUCGAGUUUUGGGUGGACAGCAAGCUUCUCAAGAUACAGAGAGAGUUGGGUACUGUCCCAUACCUCUACCCCCUCCUAAAAAGAUGCUACCUGAUGACACCCCUGUGGCUAAGAGAUUGUUUAUUGUGUGUCAGCCAUCAGGAACACCAGAGAAGAUUUUGAGGGAUGCAUUCUGUAGAAUGGGAAAUCUGAUAGAUGUAUAUUUGUUACCAGCAAGGAACUAUGGUUAUGCCAAGUAUGCGACCAUAGAAUCAGCUGUGAAAGCUAUAGAAUUACUUCAUGGACAAAACAUUGGUGGAAAUCGAUUGAAAGUCAUUGAAGCAGAACCAACAAGAAAAGAUUUUGAUGAUGAACCAUAUAAAAAACAAAGAACCUGAAGUAUCCAAUAGAGAAUGAUAGCUCUUUAUGUUGGAUAUGAUCAGCAGGCCUGUAAUGGAUGGUCUUCAUCUUCAGACUGGAAACUUAGUGUUGGGCAAGAAAGACUUUUUUGGUUGCAACCCCAACAUGCUAGUCUGAUUGCACCAACGCUGUAUUUGAAUGUUAAAAAUUCACAUUUGGAGCCCAAACUUUGGACAUGAAGCAAGAAAUUUUAAAGAAAAAGAAGAGGAAAAAAGAUAUGAAAUGACAGACUUUUUUCAGGAUUUAAUACAGGAUGAAGAUGCUGAAUACAUCUUACCACUGAUGUUGGGUCUGAGGUACCUCAAGCCUCAACCAGUGCAGACCCCUCUACCUUCUUUGGCCUAACCUCCAACACAUAAUUUGAAGCAGCAGAUCUUGACCGCUCUAUCUACUUUUACCUCCACCCAGGAAUUGUUACUAAAAGAAAUUACCCACAACACAAAGGCAAUUCGAACCCUCUCCACCGAUAUUGCUUACCUGCGUGGGCAGUUUAGACAAUUCGAGAGGGUGCAUGGUCGCCACCAGACCAUCCAAGACAGGUUGUCUAACCUGUCCAACCGCCCAUUCAAACAAAUACGAAGGAAGCCAUAUUUAAACAGACCUGAACUACAACAUUGCCAACCGAAAGUAAAAUCUGUAGAAGAAAAUAAAGAUCCGGAAAAUAAAGAAAACUGAAUUAAGUUAAUAUCUAUUCACUAUUUAGUCUGUAUUGUAUUUGCUGAUUCUCUAUAACUUUUUAAUUUUGGCCUACCUUCAGAAAUUGUCAAUUACUUAAAAUUUAACUAACUUGUUUAGUAUCAAAAGCUAAUGAAAAUUAUUUUGUUAAAAGUGUAAUUAUUUGACAUUUGAAUUUGGUACUGAAAGGCAAAAUUUGUUAAGUGAAUUUAUCCAUAUAAAAUUAUAUUCUUUUAAGUGGUCAGUUAGAGGUGUAAUUUUUGAAAUAUUCAAAGUUUUAGUCUGCCAUUUUAGAUAUAUUUUAGAUAUAUUUUAGAAAGUAAUUUAAAAGUAACGAUCAAUUCUCCUUUUAAGGGCAACUCAUGACUUUACCAUCUGUGUUUUACAGUCUUAGUUUUCUUCAUAUUCCAUCAUACCUUGAUAAACUUUCUUAAUUUUCUUGAAGAAUAAUAUGUAGUGAUUUUGGCAUCCUCGGUGGGAUUCAUUCAAAUUAGUGAAUCCAGUGAUACGUACUCUUGACUAAAAAAAAGAAGAAAUAUGGUACGGAGAAAAACUCAGGCUCCUGCCACUGACACUGAAUAUUCUGAUGAAUUUGAUGAAUAUAUAUAACAAAACAAUGUCUUUUUAGUUUUUGUAAAGUUAAACCUUAUUUUAGCGGACUUUUAGGAGCCGGGCUCUUACGAUUUUAAUCCAUUGUUCUCAUCAGUCAUGUUAAGUUAAAUUUAAGAAACUGUAGCAAAUACUUUAAAACCUUUUUAGUUAAUUUUACGGAUUUUGCAGGCAAUGCUUUAGUUAUAAUAGUUAUUUGAUGUUUGUAAAUUUCAAAACACUACUUUAAACAGAUAUAAAUAGGCAAUCUUUGGAAUUAGGGAUUAUGGUUUCCAUAAGGUUUGGAAACCAUAUUUUAAUUAGAUAACAGUUAGAAAGGAUCUAACUGCUAUCUUAAAAUAGGCACUGUUUCACGAAGGACCUGGCAGUUGCCUUGAUUUUAUGGAAUACUGUCUUAAGUAAGGACUGGACAGUAUUUCUUUAAACAACAUUUUUGUAUUUAUAUCAGGAAGGACCUGAUGAACUGAUAAGGAAUCAGUUUCCUAAACUUAUUUAUCUAAAUCAGAAAAGGUUUCGGAUUAAUUUCUGCUCAAAUUAUUAAACUUUAUAUUUAUAGAAAUGUUAGUUAAAUAAGCAAUUUAUAUAGCAAGACUCAAACAUGUAAAAGUUCACAUAAAUAUCAGUACAAAUUCUUAAAUAGUACAACAAACAGUUUUAUAUGGGACUAGAUCACAACCUCCUAUAUUUCCAUGAAUUUAAACACAUUUAAUAAUGCAUUUGAUGUACCUUAUUUAGAAUUGAUAAAUUUUCAAAAGAUUAAGAGUUCCUACAUUUUUUGGGGGAGUUCUGAGACUCGUUUAGAGAGGUGCUAGAAAUUUUAUUAUUAUGUAAUUACUGUAUACUUAUGAUAUUGUAUUGUGAAAUACGUAUUUGAUGAGGAGUUAAUGAUCAAUAGAAUAU